UACUUUCCACUCCAGGGCUAUUACAAAUAGUUCUGAUAUGAACGUUCUAGGAUGUGAUUUUGGUAAAUAAAGUACACAUUCCAAUUGGAUUCAUGCCUAGGAGUGAAAGUACCCUGUCAUAGGUUAUGCACACAUUCAGCGUUAGUAGAUACUGCCAAUGGGUUUUUCCAAGGAAUUAUGCCAUUUGCACUCCCACCAGCAGCAUUUGAGCCUUCCAGUUCCUUCACAUUCUCGCCAGCACUUGGCCAGCACCAUGCUCUUUUAGUUACUGACUUUAUGGCAGUGCCAUGAUAAACAGCUCUGUGUGCAUAUUAGUAUAUUUUUGCGACCAUAUCCAUUGGAUCAGGUCCCAGCAAUGGAAUUUGGUUGAUAAGAACACAGCUACCAUUCCCUUGCCUUUGGCAUAACUGGAAGACAGGAAACUACGAACUUCAGAUAACAGUAAGUAGAACAAUAAAGACCGCUUUCUGGUGGGCUGAGUUCGCUCCAAGUCUGUGGAGAGCUAGAGGGAGCGUUGAGAAACUGCACAGAAGGAACGUAAGGAAAUUUAGACGAAAUCACUCUCAGGAAGAGAACGUUCACUGUAAGAGUGAAAAUACUGGAAAAGAGUCCUGUUAGGUAAAGCAGUGACCUCAGGGAAGGGAGUUUUUAAUAGUGCCCAGGAAUAAAGAAGGCAGUCAUGCAAAGGCAUUGCUUCUGGGGAGAAAAAAGAGUGAAAUGGAAGGGAGAGGCACCUUUGGAAAUAGUGAAGUGAAGGAAAAAUGAAGCAAGAGGUAAACUUAUCUGUCUGUAAGACAAAAACCAAAAAAAUUGAAGGACGUGCUACGUCCCCUACCACUCUCCCUAAAAUCAAGACACCCGUUAACUAAACUUCACUUUGCUCUGCUGACAGAAGAGGGCACUCUCGAACUGGCAUUCUUGUUUGUCAUCCCAGACUGCCACGCCAUCCAAAGGGCCGAGAUACAAGUAGUUUAUAUAUAACUACUAAGGAAGAAAACCAAAAAUGAGAAUUAAAAACUUCAGUUGACAAAAUUCUCUUCACUGUGCAAGUCAAUCAUGAAGCAGAUGAUGACACUGCAGUCUGAGUUCAGUUGCCUCCAAUAAGCAUUUGAGGUUAUGAAAAUCCAAAGUUCAGAAACCAGUGACAGAAGGGGAGUAAAAUAGGAAGAAGUAAAUUUAGAGCUGAUUGAAUUAAAAUGGUGGCGGGGCGACAAAGUCACAUGUCAGAAAUUAAGACAAAAUUACAAAGUACUCAGGAGAAUAUAUUUGAGUCAAAUUUAAUAAGGAACAUUGAAGAAAAUGGGGAAAAUAACCAAGAAAAUGAAGAUAAAGAAAAAGGUAAAUAUUGGAAAAAAGUGACUAAAAUGGAAGCCAGGCAAAGAAGACCAAAUGUACAUAUAAUUGGAGUGUCUGAAGAAGAAAAACCAGGAACGGACUAUUUAAAACUAAUCCAAGAAAGCAUUUCAGAAAUAAAGUUAAGGCCGAGAUCUACAUAAUGAAAGAGACCACUGAGCACCUGGGAAAAUUGACCUAGAAUGAUCCAACUGGAGUAAAUGUCCACAUAUAACAAUUACAUUUUUAAAAUUAAGAAAAAUCCUUGGGACCUGGAAGCAAAAAGAUUAAAUUACUUACAAGGAUAAGAGACUUAGAGUAGCAUCAGACUUCUCAAAAGCAACAUGCAGAACAAGGCAACAGUGGAAAAGCACUGCAGGAGACUCAGUCGUGUAUUAAGACUAAGGAAAACAGUUCUAAAUAUGCAAGAACUGAGGGAAUUCUGUGUUCCCAGGCUCUUCUUGUAUCUAUUAGAGGAUGAGCUUCAUUCAACCAAGAGAUGACUGGAGGAAUUUCAGCAAAAGGAUGGAUGGUGCUUAUUUAAUUAUAAUUCUAAGACUACAGCAAGGCUGGAGAACAGUGUAUAAAUGCCAUUUUAGUUGCAGAAAAAAUGCAACUGAAAGAUGAGAGGAGAAGGAACAGGGAAAGAGUAAAGCAGGAGUUCACUGAUUGUUGUGAGCCUACAGGUAUCAUAAAAAUAGACAACCCAGUUAAUAAGAUGUUAAAUAAGGGAACAGACUAAGGGCAUUUUUAAAAAGGUAUAAUUACAAAGGUAGCCACUAGACCAAAAAUAUAAACCUUCGUAAAUAUCGGUAUAAAACACAUCACAUAGAUACCAAAUAUAACAUGGUACAUAAAGUAAUUAUUAAAAAAUAGGGAAAACCAAAAAUGUCUCUUGCACCAAUGAAUACAAAUGGCUUAACUUAUUAAAAUCACUUAUCUCAUUUAUUCAAAGAAAAAGAUGUCCAGUUUGCAUCAUGAAGCAAGACCAACUAUAUAUGGUAUAUGACACUUAAAAUCAAUCUGAAAGGUUAAACAUAAGGGAUGGGCAAAGGUAUACCAGGAGAAUGGAAAUAGCAUAGCAAUAUUUGUGAUCUUAAUAUUAGACAACGUAAAAUUCAAGUAUUGUGACAAGGAAAGACAUUUUCAAAUGCUAAAAGCCACAGAUUACAAUAAAAGAUCUAUGCCUUAAAUAAUCCAACUGUCAUUUUUAUAAAGCAGAAACUAUAGGAUAUCCACAGAGACACAGGUAGAAACAAAUAAUAGACUUAAACAAACCAUAAUUAGUACAAGGAAAGUCAGAUGGACCAAAAUAAGAUAUAGAGACCUCACAUAAUAGGUAGAUAGGUAGAAAUCUUAUGGAUCUGUUUCAGACCUUACAGCCUGGUAACAGGCACUAAAUCUUACUCUCCAGUAUACAUAGAGCAUUCACAAAAGUUGAUCAUAUAUAUUAGGAAAGAAAGCGUUGUUAAAUUCCAUAAAGCAAAAAUGUUACUAACAACACUGAUCAAAACUAGAAAUUUAUAGCAACAACGAAAACAAAAGCAAUGUCUCACUUGGAAAUACAUCUUCUAUUAAACAAUUCUUGGAUGAAAGGAGAAAACAUAAGCCAUAAUAACAAAAUUCUAAAAGAAAAAAGAUAAUGAAAACCCUACGUAUCAAAAUCUAUGGAAUGCUUUAAAACAAUGAACAGAGGAAAAAUUUAUAGCCUUAUUAAGUGCUUAAUAAAAAUGAGAGAAGGAAAGUAAACUAAAUUCCCAUCUCAGAAAGCCAGGAGAAAAAUAUUCUAAAAGAAAUCACAAGAAAGGAUUUAAUGAGGAUAAGAACAGAAAUUUUAUGAUUUAGG